rnacentral:rRNA from 1 species
UACGUAGGGGGCAAGCGUUAUCCGGAAUGACUGGGUGUAAAGGGAGCGUAGACGGCGGUACAAGUCGGAUGUGAAAGGCAGGGGCUCAACCCCUGGAGGGCAUUGGAAACUGUACGGCUGGAGUGUCGGAGAGGUAAGCGGAAUUCCUAGUGUAGCGGUGAAAUGCGUAGAUAUUAGGAGGAACACCAGUGGCGAAGGCGGCUUACUGGACGAUCACUGACGUUGAGGCUCGAAAGCGUGGGGAGCAAACAGG